GGUCGCAGGGACUUGGUGGCUCAUCAUCUAUUCCUGCUGAAGAGCCCGAAGCUGAACCAAAGGUCGCUGACACAGUGGGAGUUAGCUUUAUUGAGGUCGAUGAUGAAAUGCUUGAUGGACUUCCUAAGACUGAUCCCAUCACUUCAGAAGAAAUGAUGGCGGCUGCUGUUGACAACAACCAGGCGCGGG